rnacentral:rRNA from 1 species
GACGAACGCUGGCGGCGUGCCUAAUACAUGCAAGUAGGACGCAGUUGCGAACGGGUGAGUAACGCGUAGGUAACUACCUAUUAGAGGGGGAUAACUAUUGGAAACGAUAGCUAAUACCGCAUACUAGUAGAUGGACCUGCGUUGUAUUAGCUAGUAGGUAGGGUAAUGGGCUACCUAGGCAACGAUACAUAGCCGACCUGGAGGGGUGGUCGGCCAACAUGGGACCGGGACACGGGCCAGGCUCCUACGGGAAGCAGCAGGAGGGAAACUUCGGCAAUGGGGGGAACGCUUACCGCGCAAAGCCGGGUGAGUGAAGAAGGUUUUCGGGGCGUAAAACUCUGUUGUUAAGGAAGCGGUACUUAACCAGAAAGGAACGGCUAACUACGUGCCAGCAGCCGCGGUAAUAC